AGUUAGCAGAUACCGCCUACGUGGACUUCCGUGAGCCGGUAGUGCCGGAUACGAUGAAGCCCAUCCCAUCUCUCCUAUUCGACGCCACUGUUUUUCUCAGUCCGUCUCGGAGCAUCAAUCCAUUGGAACGCAGUCAUUCUCUUCUUCUGCUAUUUCCAUUAUAAGCAAAAGAGCAGAGCAAAGGACCUACUGUAGAUGGCACUUAGCUCUGCUUCUACCUCAAUUUCUGUGGUGAAACCGGCGGGUUCGAUUUCAUUUCCGACUAGGAAUCCGAAGCAAUCUCUUCUUCUCAACGUCGUUUCCUCAUCAUCAUCAUCAGCCAAUGUACUCUCACGGUCGUUUCUUCGGGUUUCUGCAGCAGAUUCAGCCCCGAAAGCUCGUUUUAUUGCUCGCCGCAGAGAGUCCGUUUCGGUCCGUCAACUCCAGCGCCCUCUAACUGAGUACAUGAGCUUGCCGGCGAGUCAGUACUCGGUGUUGGAUGCGGAGAGGAUUGAGAGGGUUGAUGAUAACACAUUCAGGUGCUAUGUCUAUAGGUUUAAGUUCUUCAAUUUCGAGGUUUGCCCGGUUUUGCUUGUUAGAGUUGAAGAGCAGCCUGAUGGUUGUUGUAUUAAGCUCUUGUCCUGCAAGCUUGAGGGAUCACCUAUUGUUGUGGCCCAGAACGACAAGUUUGAUGCUUCUAUGGUGAAUCAAAUAUCAUGUGGUAGCAAUCUAAGCAACUCAUCAAUGCAACAACUAACUUCAGAUGCAGUUAUUGAGGUCAACAUUGAGAUCCCUUUUGCAUUUAGGGCACUUCCCACGGCAGCAAUAGAAGCAACUGGGAGACAAGUCCUUGAACAAAUACUUGGACUCAUGCUACCUCGCUUUAUGGCAGAGCUUGUGAAAGACUAUCAAGCAUGGGCUUCUGGCAAUACUUCAAGGCAGCCUCUGGGGACUGGUGAGAUUUAGUGCUCAAGCAGACAGCAUCGGCCAGCACUCGUUCUACCUGUUAGCUUUACCAAGAGCCAUUGGCUCUUGUGGUAAUUUCCUGCCUAAAAAUUGUUCCUCUUCCGUGUCUUAUUUUCUCUUACAUGGUUACACGAUCAUCUGACUAUGUUCUUACCAGUUGGUGAAUCUUUCCUUCAAUUUUAUUGGCAAGGUGGCUUGAAAGCUGCUCUCAAAUAAGUUACAGGUCAGAUCGAAAGACAGAAUCUUGUUUACUGCUCUGAAUUUCUCUUAUCUCCUACUAUAUGGGCUACGAUCAAUGUUUUUUUUUUUCGUUAUUUCUAAAUUUCGAUUUAAAAUGCUUGUGUGCAUUGGUUUAAGGACUAUUUUUCUUGUUCGCGUCGAGCAUUUAGAAGAUGCAAUAGAUAUUUUGUUAGACUUGUAACUUGUUGCAUACGGGUUAGCAUGCUUUUGUUACUUUGUAUUAUUGAAAAUUAUUGUAUGGGGCUGGCAUGAAAUUAUUGAA